UACGGAGGGGGCAAGCGUUGUUCGGAGUUACUGGGCGUAAAGGGCGCGCAGGCGGCUGCUCAAGUCAGGCGUGAAAGGCCUGGGCUCAACCCGGGAAUUGCGCUUGAGACUGGGCUGGCUUGAGUGCGGGAGAGGAUGGUGGAAUUCCCAGUGUAGAGGUGAAAUUCGUAGAUAUCUGGAGGAACACCGGUGGCGAAGGCGGCAUCCUGGACCGGUAUUGACGCUGAGGCGCGAAAGCUAGGGGAGCAACGGG
rnacentral:rRNA from 1 species